rnacentral:lncRNA from 1 species
GUUACGUUCGCACGUUCCGCUUCUCCGCAGCCUGGGGUUCACCGGUUUGGAUCCCCGGUGCGGACAUGACGCCUCUGGGCACGCCAUGCUGUGAUGACCAAUACUCGCCCUGAAGACGUCCCAGAGCGGGGCUGAAGAAGGCUCCGCCGAAACUUGCUGCCGAUGCCCGGCCUGGCUUGAAGAGGUGAUUAGAGUUGCCGCCUGUAAAGCAGUUAAAGGACACCAUAAAAAUUCAGGGUGAAGCCAGAUGGGAGAGCUGGGCUACAAGGGGGGCAGCCCCCGCAGCUGAGCGUGCUCAGUGAAGAUUCCUGGAGCAAGUGGUCACUCCAAUAAAGUUUCUGAUUCUGUCCAGAAAUCCUCAACUCACAUAGUAAGAAGUGGAUUGAAGGACAAUUUGAACACAGUUUUCUACAUAAUCAAAAAGCAUAUAAUUGAAGAUUGAACUUGAGCUAUAGCUUAAUGUGUUGUUU